UGCAGAAAAUAACCCAUCUACCGUACGACCCAUGACCCCCAAUCCCGUCGGCACCUCCAGCGCGCCGCCGCCCCCUACUACGUCGUCACACGCCACCGAACUCCACCUCACCGUCGCGCCGCCAGACUCCUCCUCGCUGUCGCGCUGCCAGAACCCACCCAGCCGUCGCGCAAGGGCGGUUCCGGAGCACGAGCCAGCAUAGAGGGGGCCGGGACCAGAAGCAGGAUGCGAAAGUUGGAGCGUCGCACGGCACCUUGCGGCGUUCGUGUUCCUCAUAGUCGCCUCACUCCUCCAUGGCCUACCUGCGAGAGCCCACGCUGGAGGAUGACCCUGACCAUGGCGUAGAGUCCAGCCGACGGUAUCCGACAUGGUAGUCUUCUCGAAGGAGCCGUGGUCCAUGCCGACAAGCAGAGGCCCACCGUCGCGAGUCCUCCUCCCAUUGCUAUCCUCCACAUCCCCGAUGAAUAGGAGCCAGAGAAGCACAGUGCAUUCUUCCUCCCUUAUGUCUAUGCGGAUUAUGAAUAGAUGAUGUGAUUGCUUUGUUAUUUUAUUCAAUUAAUGGCAAAAUUGAUGAGGUAAUUGGAAGAAUCGAGCAGCAAUUUUAUUACAGAACUCGCCAUUGAUUUGGUCAUCUCUGUCACUAGCAAGUUGCAUAAGAAAGAUCGUGGAGUUGUAGAGGUGUGAAUGAAAAAGUUAGUCUGGGAGAUAGUUAUAGUGAUCCGUAAAUUAUAGAGCGGAUCCAGGUGAAAUUUCCUGCGCAUUGAAAGUCAUAUUGCUCUAAUUUGGAGCAUUAGCUACUCACUCCUCGAGGCAAAGGAAGGGUGUGAUGACAAGGGCUGGUUGUUUUUUAACUCAGUUGAAUCAUCUUUCUUGAUAGGUAGUCUAAGACAAAUUACCCUAUUGCCUGGAGGUAAAGCAGUCUACUAUGGCUUAACCAAAGCAGAGUGGCCUUACAGUUUCAGCUCGCACCAUGGUUCUUGGGAAGCACUAGGGAGGCAGCAAGCUGACACAGUGCCAUUAAGAUUUGUAUUUAUCAGUUUGUAAUCUAUGUCUUCAGAUCAUUUUGUUUUUACAUGCAAAUCAUAUACAUAGGAGUACAGUUUAUAGUUAAAGCAUAAUUUUGAUGCAAAUCUAUGGUAGCCAUCGUCAUUCAGCCAGCGAAGAGCUACACUACCUGAAGCCCCUCGAUUGAUAACAUAUACGUGAGUACUCUAAACCUCGGAAAUUGCCUGGUCUAUUCUUCAGCAAUUAAUAGAAGAUACAUUAAUGUUUUCUUCGUUUCUGGAGAUGAGCCUACAUUUUUAUAUUCUAACGUAGAUGUUCAUGAGAACAUGAAAAGCACCAUCAAUUGUAACACAUAUUUUCAGUUUUACUGAUUUGUCUGCAAGAUGAAUUUGUGCAUUAUCAAUACAAGAAAUUGGGGUACUAUUUGGGAAAGCCACUGUUGAGAUGUUUCCCCAAAUGACAGGAUACAACCACCAUAAUUUUUAUCCUCUGCAUUAGUUUCAGUUUAUUGCAAUAUUUUUAGACAUUUUCCUAUAGUAAAGGUAAGUACAGGUGAUCCCUUUUAAUUAGUGCAAGUUUUUUUCUGUAAAUGGUAGAAAUGUAUUUCUUCUGAUAUUAUGUAUUAGAGCAAUCCAUGUUUUGUUCUUGGCACUAUACAAGUGCAUCUCCUCUUUAACUGUAAUAGCUAGAUGCUCUUAAUUUUCUUAUGAGUCUGAUGAAUCAGUGUAAUUAUAUGAUUAUUGGAGCCCACAUAUAAUUCUCAACAAUGCAGUAUGUGCUACUCUUUUCCGUUUGUGAUAGACAAUAGUAGAAAGAAAUCUGGUCCGAAAGUAUGUGGUGUACAGUUCAUAAAAAACUAAUUACCCUAUCACCAUUAUGGUAGGAUCAAAUUCAUUGCCUAGAUGCACUAGCAUGGCCUUAGUGACGGCGCUGGAGCUACCACUGCUUGCGCCUCUAGCCACGCCAGCCGUGAUGUUCUACAUGCUGAUCAACGUGAUGUUGUCAGCCACCCAGAUUUUCUGCAGUUAGCUCGGCAACUUCCAGCCCCCACCGCCUUUCUUGUCAGCCACUACACCCAGGUUUUCGUCUAUGCCUCAUUGGAUGCAUUUCCAUCGUAUAUAAUGUUAGAUAUACACAAUUAUAGGUACAUAUAUGAUCUUCCACCUCGGCUCAUGUACUGAUAAGAUUUGUGUUGAUACAUGAUUCUCAACAAACUAUACUACCAAACUUUUUCACGAAAAGUGUAGUACCAGUUGGUGUGAUAUCUUGUCCUCAGCACCGCCCCCGAUGGAAUGACCAUGACCAUGUUGUUUCCUGGAGUCCUUUCUCAUGAUGAUGUCGCUAUUAUUCAUCCCACAGUUUAUGCAGUGGAGCGUCAAAGACCUCAGUGUGUUACAGGAGAUGACCAUGAAGAUCGGCAAGAAAGAUGUGUCAUACAUGUUGAUCAAGGAAGGUGCGGCACUGUGAUGUGCGUUGAAACACAAGCAUGGCCAGCAAUCGACGCCCACCAUCCAUGUGCCUUGCAAGCAGCAAUUUUUCACAUUCUUGAUGAUAUUUGUCAGUGCCCUCUUCUCAUCUAUCUCGACAAUCUCGGUAUCCAGGCAAGCUUACAGCCUUCCGCUUCGUAAGGAAUUGGAGCAGUACACUCCCAUUUGUUAAUUGUUAUGCCUGGUGUAUGCCUGUACGAGUACUCAAUGUUGUUGUCUGAUCUCUGUACAUUUGUUUGAGCGCCACACGAUCUCAUGAAAGAUUUGUAUUGGUCAUCUUAGUCCAAAUUGAUAAUGUUGUGUUCUUUUCAUACGACCUAGAGUAGAUAUGGUUCCACUAUCGAAGGAUACGGAACGACACAGACCAGUAGCAUCGUGGCAUAAAACCAAAAAAAAAAAGAUAGUCUAGAACAAAGGUUCAACCAGCUCAGACUGAAAACGUUGUGUACUCCACACUUCAGUACACUUACAAUUCUCAAGUUUUUUCUAUGCGUGUCAAUGGCAGCAACCAUUCUGCUGCGCAACAAGAGAAUCUAUCUGUAUAAAGUUUAAGACCUAAGUCCUGAAAUUCCUGGCAGGAACAGAAAACUUAGGGCCUGUUCGGACCUCCUCCAACUUCACAAAACUCCCCAAAUCUAGCUUCUCUUCUUGGCUUCUCACUCCAUGCAACGAUUUCGUUCCGUUCGGCAACUAAAUCAGCUUC